UUUAAGUUUGUGUACUAAAUUGUUUUAUUCAAAAUUCAAAUUUAGAUACAGAUGUGAAAAACAAGCUUCAUGGCUUUGAAAACGAUUAUGAAACUUAUGGGACGUCAAACAAAUAACUUUUCGUACAAUCGUUGUACGCCAAUUUACCACUGUUGCGGCUGAAAUUUCCCAUAACGCUGAAGCAGAUAUUAGAAUUGCUCUUUCCACCGAGGAUGCUUUAAUUCUGCGAAAAAUGUGAAACACGUCCCAAAUGAUUUUUCAUAU